AGCGAACGGUGGCGGCGUGGAUUAGGCAUGCAAGUCGGACGCGAACGGAGAGCUUGCUCUCUUAUUAGAGUGGCGAACGGGUGAGUAACGUAUGGAUGACCUACCUCGGACUCUGGGACAACCGCUGGAAACGGCGGCUAAUACCGGAUGGUCCUGGCGAUUCAUUUUGCUAGGUAAAGAUACUUGUAUCGGUCUGUGAGGGGUCCAUAUCCCAUCAGCUAGUUGGCGGGGUGAUAGCCCACCAAGGCAACGACGGGUAGCCGGACUGAGAGGUCGACCGGCCACAUCGGGACUGAGACACUGCCCCGGACUCCUACGGGAGGCUGCAGUCGAGAAUCUUCCGCAAUGGGCGCAAGCCUGACGGAGCGACGCCGCGUGAAGGAUGACGGCCUCGG
rnacentral:rRNA from 1 species